AUGGUGCAUUUGGAAAUUUCGGAACGACGCACGUCUCAGGCUAGCAGCGCAACUAGCUGGCCAAAUUUGAAGGAGAAUAAGGCUGUGGACGCAUCUGGGCAAACAGGAGCUGUUCUUACUCACAGUGUGCUGCCAUCUCCAGGAAAAACAAUCAUGGAUCAGACCAACAUUACAGGUCCCAUAGUAUUUUUAGAUGCUUCCUGGACUCCAGGACCUGAAGGGGGACCGGCAAUUGCAGGAAUAGGAGUUUUUAUCCAGUUUGCAGGUGAUAGAAGCACUGAGCUGCUCUCAGCUGUGCAUAUCAGCCACUUGGGCACCACUGGCGUCGGCCAUCCACGCUGA
rnacentral:rRNA from 1 species